rnacentral:misc_RNA from 1 species
GAUGAAGAACGUAGCGAAAUGCGAUAAGUAAUGUGAAUUGCAGAAUUCAGUGAAUCAUCGAAUCUUUGAACGCACAUUGCGCCCGCUAGUAUUCUGGCGGGCAUGCCUGUCCGAGCGUCAUUUCAACCAUCAAGCCCCCCGGCUUGUGUUGGGGACCUGCGGCUGCCGCAGGCCCUGAAAAGCAGUGGCGGGCUCGCUGUCACACCGAGCGUAGUAGCAUACAUCUCGCUCUGGGCGUGCUGCGGGUUCCGGCCGUUAAACCACCUUCAUAACCCAAGGUUGACCUCGGAUCAGGUAGGAAGACCCGCUGAACUUAAGCAUAUCAAUAAGCGGAGGA